GUUCACCAACGAACGUUGGUGAAUUGCAUGCACGGCCAAGGUUCGAUUCUCGAAUUAAUUUGUUUAGAUAAACGUUCGAAGCGGCUGUCAGGCAGCACAUGAUAUCCUGGCUGUGUUAAAUUGUUAAAUAAUUUUGAGGAGUUAAAAUUUUAACGGCAAUGACCCCGAAUCAACGCAUGUUGCUGAUUCUCGUUGGGACAAUUGGAACUCUGCACUUGGGUUUUUCAGUGCUGAAGCCUCUUCUGGUUCAGGAAAAUGAAGCGAAAAGUGAGAAAUUCAACGCAUUUGUAAAAGAGCUGGAAGGAAAAUAAGGAAGUCCUGCAUAAAGGACUUGCCUUUGCCAGAGAUGUUUUAUCUUAGUCAAAUUUUAUCAGUUUUUGGGGUGGUGCAAUGAUAUUUUGUAAUUAUUGCAAUUGUGAUUAAUUCUAGAAUUAAUUAGGAAAAAUAUACAAUAUUUUGCUAUAAAA